GACGAACGCUGGCGGCGUGCUUAACACAUGCAAGUCGAACGGAAAGGCCCUGCUUUUGUGGUGUGCUCGAGUGGCGAACGGGUGAGUAACACGUGAGUAACCUGCCCUUGACUUUGGGAUAACUUCAGGAAACUGGGGCUAAUACCGGAUAGGAGCUCCUGCUGCAUGGUGGGGGUUGGAAAGUUUCGGCGGUUGGGGAUGGACUCGCGGCUUAUCAGCUUGUUGGUGGGGUAGUGGCUUACCAAGGCUUUGACGGGUAGCCGGCCUGGGAGGGUGACCGGCCACAUUGGGACUGAGAUACGGCCCAGACUCCUACGGGAGGCAGCAGUGGGGAAUAUUGCACAAUGGGCGGAAGCCUGAUGCAGCAACGCCGGGUGCGGGAUGACGGCCUUCGGGUUGUAAACCGCUUUCGCCUGUGACGAAGCGUGAGUGACGGUAAUGGGUAAAGAAGCACCGGCUAACUACGUG
rnacentral:rRNA from 1 species